CGAGAUUGAUCUCGCUCUCGGCUUUACAGGAGGGAUAAAUCUUCCCCCGGCGGGCGGAUGGAGAUGGAAAAUCAGAGGCUCAAUUCAGUUAGCGCCGAUCCGUGUUUUCUCCUUUGGGGAAAAACGAGUUUUUUUCCAUUGGGGAAGCGCCGACAGGAGGUUUGUGGAGGGCACAGGGGGUCAUUUACCUGCUGCUUCCCCAGGCUGCCCAUUCCCACUCCCUGCCCCGCUUCGGGAGCCCCGGGGAGCCACGCUCGCAUCUCCAGCUGCUCAGGGCGCUUGUGUGCCUCGUUAACCUCCGGACAGCACUUGCUGUUUGGAGAGUAAAUAUUUACCUCCCUCCCGAGGGUUUUUGUCCCCCUUCUCGCGGGUGGAGAGGGCUGGGAUGUGUGGGGCAGCGCCGGGAUGCUCCGUGCGCUGCCAGCUGGCUGGGAAACCGCAUUUGGCUUUGAAAAUCGGGUUUGCCUCUAUUUUUAACCAUGCUAAUAACAGAAAGCAAAGCCGAGCUGAGCUGGCCACUGGUUUUUGGUGUUUUUUGGGGUUUUUUUUUAAUCUUGUGUUUGGUUCCUGCUGUGUUUUCUGCUUGGGGGGCACUCCCAGACCCCCAAACCCGAGGGAGGGCUCUGCUCUCCUUCCUCCGCUGCCGGCGAGGGAGGAGGAGGAGGAGGAGGUUUGCACCUUGGCCAAGUGCUUGCUGUUUUUCCAGCUUCUGCAGGGAUCAAAGUGCCUGUUUUGACUCUCCUCCCGAUUCCUUGAUACCAGCAGAUGAUUGUAAUGCAAUUAAACCUCUCAGCCAUGCCGUGGCUCAGGGCUUUUGUUGUGUCUCCGGGCUGGGGAUUCACCCUUGCCCUGGGAGCGGCGUGGAGACAUCGGAGCUCAGCGGCGGCACACACAGAGCUCCGGGUUCGCUUCUUUAUCAGGAACACCGCUGUUCCUCAAAUCCUGAGCCCUUUGAGAGGUGGGAUCGGCAGGGGAACUCCAGCUUCCCCUCAAAACGCCUUUCCUGCGCUCCGGAGGGGAAUGGAGAGGGGGAGAUGCUGAGCUGGGGCUGCGGGGCUGGCUCUCGGAAAGGCACGGCUUAAAUUUCUGAGCGUUCCCAGUGCUGACAGAGAUGGAGUGGGGUGUCAGCAGAACGUUUGGAAAUCCUUAAGAGAAAGGUUGUGAUCCCGGCCCUCUCCGUGCCUCAGGUUUGCGGCGAGGAGGGGACUCUCCAAACAAAUCCAGACAGAUGAGCUCUUUCACUGGUAAUUUGUCACUUCAUAAUUGCCGAAGAAAAGCAGGGGACCACCUGCCCGAGCCGCCUUCCUCUGCUGGCAAUUCCCACCCCUUCUCUCCUUCCCAACUCUCUGCUUGGCCCCUGUGGAAGAGCAGCAUUGACAGGAGAGUCCUGCCAGGCCAUGGAAGUGCUCCCCAUGAGUUUCAAAGCCACAACAGCUCAGUUCAGCCAGUUUUAACUCUGGCCUGACGCAGCCCCACGUCUCCAGGCACAAAUCAGACUGUUCUGGUGACAGCAGAGACACUUGGGGGCCAAUUUGUGGCAGUGAAAGGAUCAGCCCCAGGAAAUAUUCUCCAAUUCCAGAGCCAUUGGUUCAUCCACCCAGCUGUGGAUUCACUGGGGUCUGAUAUGGGAUGUUCCCAGAGAAGAAAAAUUUGUAAUGGGGUAAAUGAGAGGGUGAAUUGGGGCCAGCUGCCCAGGGCAUCCUCAGGCUGGGAUUUAGGAAUUCCACCUGCACUUCUUGGUAUUGUGUGGCCAGCCCAUCCCAGCAGGAUUCUGGAGGCUCCCAGCCUGCAGACAAGCAGCAGCAAGGCUGGCAGCAGACACAAUUUGUGGCUGGCUAUUCGCUGUUGUCACUCCAACCGUUCCACCUGACGAGGCAAUAAAGAUGAAAGCCAAUAAUAA